GCCAUUUUAGUACAGACAGUUCGGGCAGAAUGUGCUCUGCGGGUUUUGCAAAAUAUUCCUUUUGAAGUUCAAUCCUUGGAGUUUAAUUUAUGUCAAUUAUAUUUGGGAAGUGUCUAUAAGGAUGCAAGGUUAUUUUCUAAGGUCUGAUCCUAUAUUUAGUGGGAUUUUGCAUCAAAGACAAUUGAAGCCAAACUAGGAAAGCAUAGUUACCAAGUCAAAAGAGGAUUUGUUCCUUAUUUAAAGAUGACCAUAAAAUAGGGUUCUCU
rnacentral:lncRNA from 1 species